GGAUUGUGGCUCAGUGGUAAAGCGCUCGCCUAGCACAUGUGAGGCCCUGGGUUCGAUCCUCAGCACCA
rnacentral:tRNA from 1 species